rnacentral:ncRNA from 2 species
GGCAAGAGUAGAAGCGUUCACCGUCCUGGUGCCCCAAGCUCAGAACGGCCGGAAAUUGCUCUUGAA